UAAGUAAAUAGCAAAUCCUGGGGCUCAACCCCUUCAAUAUUAUUUAAACUACAUAGCCAGAAUAUGGGAGAGGUACCUGGAAUUCCAAGUGUAGGAGUGAAAUCCGUAGAUAUUUGGAGGAACACCGAUGGCGUAGGCAGGGUACUGGCCUAUUAUUGACACUAAGGCACGAAAGCGUGGGGAGCGAACGGGAUUAGAUACCCCGGUAGUCCACGCCGUAAACUAUGGAUGCUA
rnacentral:rRNA from 1 species